AACGAACGCUGGCGGCAUGCCUAACACAUGCAAGUCGAACGAGACCUUCGGGUCUAGUGGCGCACGGGUGCGUAACGCGUGGGAACCUGCCCUUAGGUUCGGAAUAACUCCCCGAAAGGGGUGCUAAUACCGGAUAAUGUCUUCGGACCAAAGAUUUAUCGCCUUUGGAUGGGCCCGCGUUGGAUUAGCUAGUUGGUAGGGUAAAAGCCUACCAAGGCGACGAUCCAUAGCUGGUUUGAGAGGAUGGUCAGCCACACUGGGACUGGGACGCGGCCCAGACUCCUACGGGAGGCAGCAGUGGGGAAUAUUGGACAAUGGGCGAAGGCAUGAUCCAGCAAUGCCGCGUGAGUGAUGAAGGCCUUAGGGUUGUAAAGCUCUUUUACCCGGGAUGAUAAUGACAGUACCGGGAGAAUAAGCUCCGGCUAACUCCGUG
rnacentral:rRNA from 1 species